AUACUAGGAGGGAUGGGGACGAGGUCCGUAGGAAAUGGACUGACUUCAGGUCCCUAGUUAAAAAAAAGGAAAUGAUGAGAAGGAGGGAGAUGAAGAAAACUGGUAGCGGUCCAAGCCCUCAACCAUUGUCAGAUGUGGAAGAAAGGGUAGCAAGUCUCAUACCCACUUGCCAGUUAGAGGGUAUUUAAGGUGGAAUGGAGUCUGAAUACUUUGAAACAAGUAAGA